GGGCCCGCACAAGCGGUGGAGCAUGUGGUUUAAUUCGAUGAUACGCGAGGAACCUUACCAGGGCUUAAAUGUAAGAUGCAUUAGCUAGAGAUAGCUAUUUCUUCGGACUUCUUACAAGGUGCUGCAUGGUUGUCGUCAGCUCGUGCCGUGAGGUGUCAGGUUAAGUCCCGCAACGAGCGCAACCCUUGAUCUUAGUUGCCAGCAUUCAGUUGGGCACUCUAAGGUGACUGCCGGUGACAAACCGGAGGAAGGUGGGGAUGACGUCAAAUCAUCAUGCCCCUUAUGACCUGGGCUACACACGUGCUACAAUGGAUGGUACAAAGGGCUGCAAGACCGCGAGGUCAAGCCAAUCCCAUAAAACCAUUCUCAGUUCGGAUUGCAGGCUGCAACUCGCCUGCAUGAAGCCGGAAUCGCUAGUAA
rnacentral:rRNA from 1 species